rnacentral:rRNA from 1 species
CGCUGGCGGCGUGCUUAACACAUGCAAGUCGAACGAGGUCCACUGCGUAGCAAUACAAGGGAAGACCUAGUGGCGAACGGGUGCGUAACACGUGAGGAACUUGUCCCGGUCUCUGGGAUAACAGUUGGAAACGACUGCUAAUACCGGAUGACGUCGGAAUCUCGCAUGGGAUACUGACGAAAGGGUUACUGGAUCGGGAGAGCCUCGCGGCCUAUCAGCUUGUUGGUGAGGUAACGGCUCACCAAGGCAUCGACGGGUAGCUGGUCUGAGAGGAUGAUCAGCCACACUGGGACUGAGACACGGCCCAGACUCCUACGGGAGGCAGCAGUGGGGAAUCUUGCGCAAUGGGCGAAAGCCUGACGCAGCAACGCCGCGUGCGGGAAGAAGGCCCUCGGGCUGUAAACCACUUUCAGUAGGAACGAAAAUGACGGUACCUGCAGAAGAAGGUGCGGCCAACUACGUG